UGCAAAUCAAGUUCUGAUUAUGAAAGUCUGCAAUUAAAAAAGGGCAUCAACGAGGAGACUAUAAUUUUUACUAAACACAGAGACACGGGAAAGGAAACUAUUAAUACAGAAAUGAUACAUAGAGUUCAAACACAUGGAAAAUCCCUAAAUGUGGAUAUUCUCAUCAAAGACUUGAAUGAAAAUGACACGGAUGUAUACUGGUGUAUGUAUACUAAACUAAGUGCUACUUAUACAGAAGUUACCGAAAAAGGACAGGGAUCCAUACUGCUGGUUGUUGCUGGGAGUAAGCCACAUAAGGAAGAUGUACGUGGACAACCGAAUCUAAACAUGACCGUGGUAUAUAUUGUCAUCGCUGUUGGCGUCCUGCUUAUCAUCAUGCUGGUAGUCAUCUGUAGGACCAUGCAAAAGACCAAGACCUCAUUAAACACAGUGAAACCACGGCGCAUUGAAAAUACCAAUGAUGUUUAUGAGGACAUGCGAGGAACGAUCAGGCGCUAAUGAUGCAAGACUGCAGGACAAUGCCAUGCAUGAAACUCUUUAAACCAUAAACCACUGAAGCAAAAGGGAUGCAUGUUAUGCAACAUGUCAGUUCCUACACCUCUUCAAGAAAUUCUCCCCCUGAAAAACUUAUAAACUGUUUGUUUAUAAGAGUGGGUCAGAAAGAAAUCAAGAAGAGACAGUGACAGUGAAUUGGUGUUUGUAUUUUUGUAAAUAUUGUAUUGUUAAAUUUAUCAUGUGUAGAAUAGAAUAAAUAAAAGUUAUAUAGUUUGUUUUUUUUUUUUUUUUUUUUGUUAUUUGAAUUUUGUAUAAACAUUGAAAAUCACUUAAAACUGAAGGCAAAUUGUUUAAGAGUUUUAAACAAUCCCAUAUCCUUUCCUGUUCCCAGAUUUCUGAGAUGUCUUUGGUAAUCAUUCUAUAAAAAAGCAUCUAAGUCAGAAGUCUUCCAAAACAUUUUCAAAGCUUACAAAUAUUUUGAAAAUAUCUUUUUUAGAAUUUUACAUCACUGUUAUUGAUUUUGAGAUGUAACGUACCACCAAACCAUGAUGCCUCCAAUGCCAUGUAAUUCAGCUGGACAGAGAUUUGAUGAUUUGUGAGCUAAAUUUCUCAAUUCACUCAGUUUUUAAAAGUUUUUUUUUUAUUUGAGAAGGUUUGCAAAGAUAGACUUUAAUAUGAAUCACCUUUAAGUAAAUGCCAAUGUAUUUGGUUUCACGUUCAACUUAGAACCUCUACGUGCAAAAUAGUUUUGGGUCAGGAAAUCUCUAUUAUUAUGCACCAAUAUGAUCAUUAGGAAAAGCUGGUUUACAAACACCACUUAAAAACUGAGUUUCUCCAGAUAUCAAACUCCAAGUAUAUUUUAAGAUGGUGUUUGCAUUUACUUCCAGCUUAACAUGGUAAUACUAACCUUAUUGUAUGAAGGAGUCGACAGUGCAAUGGUCUGUGUUUAUUUUCGAUUAGAAAACUAUGUAUAUAAAUACUAUGUAUACAUUUUGGAUACUGCGUUAAAGUUAAUUGUAAAAAUAAAUUGU